rnacentral:rRNA from 1 species
CCUACGGGUGGCUGCAGUGAGGAAUAUUGGUCAAUGGGCGCGAGCCUGAACCAGCCAAGUAGCGUGAAGGAUGACUGCCCUACGGGUUGUAAACUUCUUUUAUAAAGGAAUAAAGUGCGGCACGUGUGCCUUUUUGUAUGUACUUUAUGAAUAAGGACCGGCUAACUCCGUGCCAGCAGCCGCGGUAAUACGGAGGAUCCGGGCGUUAUCCGGAUUUAUUGGGUUUAAAGGGAGCGUAGAUGGGUUGUUAAGUCAGUUGUGAAAGUUUGCGGCUCAACCGUAAAAUUGCAAGUGAGACUGGCAGCCUUGAGUACAGUUGAGGUAGGCGGAAUUCGUGGUGUAGCGGUGAAAUGCUUAGAUAUCACGAAGAACUCCGAUUGCGAAGGCAGCUUACUAAACUGCCACUGACAUUGAUGCUCGAAAGUGUGGGUAUCAAACAGGAUUAGAUACCCGAGUAGUC